rnacentral:lncRNA from 10 species
UCAGGGAUAGGUAGCUCUCUAGCUGUGGUCUCCACCCACUCUGUAGUUGUUACCUGUGCAGCUGUGGUUCCAGAAAGCACCACAAUUGAUACCUCUGCAGGUGUCAUACCUGUGCUCUCUGCAGUUGGCAUCUGCACAGGUGCAGUGCUUAUGACUUCAGUGGUUGGCACCUGCACAGAUGUGGUUCCAGAGGGCUCUGC